rnacentral:rRNA from 1 species
AACGAACGCUGGCGGCAUGCCUAACACAUGCAAGUCGAACGAAGGCUUCGGCCUUAGUGGCGCACGGGUGCGUAACGCGUGGGAAUCUGCCCUUAGGUUCGGAAUAACAGUUAGAAAUGACUGCUAAUACCGGAUGAUGACGUAAGUCCAAAGAUUUAUCGCCUGAGGAUGAGCCCGCGUAGGAUUAGCUAGUUGGUGUGGUAAAGGCGCACCAAGGCGACGAUCCUUAGCUGGUCUGAGAGGAUGAUCGGCCACACUGGGACUGAGACACGGCCCAGACUCCUACGGGAGGCAGCAGUGGGGAAUAUUGGACAAUGGGCGCAAGCCUGAUCCAGCAAUGCCGCGUGAGUGAUGAAGGCCUUAGGGUUGUAAAGCUCUUUUACCCGUGAUGAUAAUGACAGUAGCGGGAGAAUAAGCCCCGGCUAACUCCGUG